rnacentral:lncRNA from 1 species
AUGUAUGAAAAUUACCACGCUGCAUUUUGGUCCGACUCUCCUUCGACGGAAGAAAACCAUAACAGAAUCAUCCACCACAACAGGACCAAGCGGCGUGGUGACAGGCAGCAGGAGCAACAAAGUUUGGAAUAUACGACUUGGGAGGAAAUAGACAGGUGGGCGGUCGACCCAGGGAAAGUGCCGGAGCCCGCCUGGGAUUCGCUGGAGCAGUGCGAAGAGGGUUAUAGGAGAAUGGAGUUGAAGAGACAAGCACGGCGGCGCGGAAGGAAGCCCGAGAGUCAGCCCCAAAAAUGUAUUGGGGGGAGGGGGCUCAGGGAGAGUGUGGCAGAGUCAGGGUUCAGACCUGAGCCAACUCCCCCUGUUUAUCGUGAGGAGCCAAGGAGGAGACCAGAACCAGAGCCGGUGUUGGAGGUGAGUGAAGCAGAGACUGUGAAGGAGUUAAUGGGGAAAUUGGAGGAGAGAGUUAUGAGGGAGUUGCUAGUUUGGUGUUUUAGGUACGAUUUUCGCCCGACGGAGCGUGUCGGGGAUUUGAUGGCACCUGGGUCAGCGCUCCAUACUCGUCUUGAGGUGCGUGUUAGUCGGCUGGUGAAGAUUGUGCCAGCCUCACGCACCAGGCCUCCUGUGCACCUCCCUAGCCUUGCACGUCCUGUGCCAGCCCUGCUCUCAAGCUCUCCAGUACGCCUUCAUGGUCCGGUCCAUCCUGUGCCAGCUCCACACACCAGUCCUCCGGUGGCAGCUCCCCGCACCAGGCUUCCUGUGCGUGUUCUCGGCCCAGUACCACCAGUGCCAGCACCAUGCAUCAGGCCUACAGUGCGCCUCGCCUGUUUAGUGCUGUCAGAGCCUUCCUCCUCUCCAGCGCUGCCGGAGUCUCCCGCCUGUUCAGCGCUGCCAGAGCCUUCCUCUCCAGCGCUUCCGGAGUCUCCCGCCUGUUUAGCGCUGCCAGAGCCUUUCUCCUCUACAGCGCUGCUGGAGUCUCCUGCCUGUUCAGAGCUGCCAGUCUGCAUGGAGCAGCCAGAGCUGCCAGUCUGCAUGGAGCAGCCAGUCUGCAUGGAGCAGCCAGAGCUGCCAGUCUGCAGGGAGCAGCAAGAGCCGCCAGUCUGCAGGGAGCAGCCAGAUCCGCCAGUCAGCCAGAAUCUUCCAGAUCCGCCAUUCAGCCAGUGA